UACGGAGGGUGCGAGCGUUGUCCGGAAUCACUGGGCGUAAAGGGCGCGUAGGCGGCGCGGGAAGCGGGCGGUGAAAGCCCGGGGCUCAACCCCGGGUCGGCCGUGCGAACUCCCGGGCUCGAGCACUGUAGGGGCAGGCGGAAUUCCGGGUGUAGCGGUGGAAUGCGUAGAGAUCCGGAAGAACACCGGUGGCGAAGGCGGCCUGCUGGGCAGUGGCUGACGCUGAGGCGCGACAGCGUGGGGAGCAAACAGG
rnacentral:rRNA from 1 species